rnacentral:rRNA from 1 species
UGAGGAAUAUUGGUCAAUGAACGAGAGUCUGAACCAGCCAAGUAGCGUGAAGGAUGAAGGUUCUAUGGAUUGUAAACUUCUUUUAUACGGGAAUAAACGGAUCCACGUGUGGAUUUUUGCAUGUACCGUAUGAAUAAGGAUCGGCUAACUCCGUGCCAGCAGCCGCGGUAAUACGGAGGAUCCGAGCGUUAUCCGGAUUUAUUGGGUUUAAAGGGAGCGUAGAUGGGUUGUUAAGUCAGUUGUGAAAGUUUGCGGCUCAACCGUAAAAUUGCAAUUGAUACUGGCAGUCUUGAGUACAGUUGAGGUAGGCGGAAUUCGUGGUGUAGCGGUGAAAUGCUUAGAUAUCACGAAGAACUCCGAUUGCGAAGGCAGCUUACUAACCUGUAACUGACAUUGAUGCUCGAAAGUGUGGGUAUCAAACAGGAUUAGAUACCCUGGUAGUCCACACGGUAAACGAUGAAUACUCGCUGUAGGCGAUAUACGGUCUGCGGCCAAGCGAAAGCAUUAAGUAUUCCACCUGGGGAGUACGCCGGCAACGGUGAAACUCAAAGGAAUUGACGGGGGCCCGCACAAGCGGAGGAACAUGUGGUUUAAUUCGAUGAUACGCGAGGAACCUUACCCGGGCUUAAAUUGCAACCGAAUAUGGCGGAAACGCCAUAGCUAGCAAUAGCGGUUGUGAAGGUGCUGCAUGGUUGUCGUCAGCUCGUGCCGUGAGGUGUCGGCUUAAGUGCCAUAACGAGCGCAACCCUUGCCGAUAGUUACUAACAGGUCAUGCUGAGGACUCUGUCGGGACUGCCAUCGUAAGAUGUGAGGAAGGUGGGGAUGACGUCAAAUCAGCACGGCCCUUACGUCCGGGGCUACACACGUGUUACAAUGGGGGGUACAGAGGGCUGCUACCACGCAAGUGGAUGCCAAUCCCAAAAACCUCUCUCAGUUCGGAUUGAAGUCUGCAACCCGACUUCAUGAAGCUGGAUUCGCUAGUAAUCGCGCAUCAGCCACGGCGCGGUGAAUACGUUCCC